AUUAUUUCUCUUCAACAGCUUCCAUUCCAGGGCAUGUCCCCUCCUGCUCAAAUGAAAACAUGAGGCCACAAGACUUGUGAUUCCCCUUCAAAAGCUGAAGUUUAGUCAGUCACUAUUCUUCCAGCAACACCUCCUGUUUAGCUCAAGUGCAUUAAAUGAAGUGGAUCUAAACUUUAUCACCAACAACAUCUACCCUGGAUAAAAUUCAUAAACAGUCUGUAUGUGUUUGCAUGAUGAAAGGGAUGAGUCUCUCCUCUGAUGUGAGCACACGGCUUGUUUUUGGCUGGGUUUCCAUCAUCUGGUUCAUUUCAGGCAUUGCAGUCAGUCAAAUGCUGAAUCUAAAGACCGUUUCCCCGGUGGCAGCACGGUGUGGAGAAAAUGUGACACUGACAUGUAAUGUCAGCUCAUCAAGCGAGAUCGAAAUUAAAUUCUUUGCCUGGAAUGCUGGAAAUAAAAGUCUAUGUACAAAGGACGGGCCGCAUGAUGACCCCAAGGUUAAAUGUGAAUAUAUAUAUGGUCGUCAACUGCAAACCCUCACUCUGACUCUCCUCAACGUGAUGCCCAUCGACCAGGGAGCAUACUCCUGCAAACUGCGAUCCAACUAUGGUCCGGCAUUUCACAAGACUGAUGUUAAAGUACAAGAUUGCCUUGAAACUUCUGGCCACAACAUAAAUGAGUCUCGUGCUGAGUGCUGGUUCAAUGGUGUUUACCCAGUUGGAACCGUCCACUGGUCCCAAGGAGAGGUUAACUUUACAGCUCCUGCCUUCAACCAGAAAGAAAAGAUGGACCAUCAAGGACGGUACAAUAUCUUCAGUACAUUUGAUGUGAAGAAAGGAAGUUUGAAUCAGCCAUACAACUGCUCACUGUGGAUACCUUCGACCAAUAAGAUGCUUUUCAGUCAGGAACUACCUGUGGUUCAGAAAUUGAAAGGGUCAUCAGGAAGUAUGAUCACACUGAAGUGGAUUUGUUUAAUAAUGGAAAUCAUGAUGGUUAAAUUGAUGACAUAAAGGGCACAAACAUUUAUUUAGUUUUCAACACAUUAUUACUUGCAUUUGAGAGCUUAUGGGGAACUGUCUUCUCAGUAAAGACAAAAGUGAGUAGGGUUUUAAUCAUCAAAUCAAAAACAACAUAUUUCACUGAUUAGUAAAGCUUUAACUCUAUUUGAGAAAAAAUUCAUCUUAAGGUGUAUUUUGACUUCCACAAAUUUUCGAAAACAAACUGCCUCCAUUAAUUAGAGGGCGGGUUUAUUUCAAACUGGAACUCCCCGAAUGACUUUUAAAAUGUCAUAGUGACGCGAACUUUUAGAAGAAAUGGACAGUCAGAGGAUUGAUUAAAGAAUACAAGAUGCAGUCUUGUUUUACUGGUACUUUUGGACUCAUUGGUACCAGACAUUUGACUUUUUCUAAACCUUCACCUCCUUAUUAUUGCCAGAAGGAGGCAGUCUUCUCGUGCUAGAGAACUAAUACACCUCUGGCAUUUUGUAAAUGCUGUUAAGGAGAGCUCAAUCUUAUAUUCAGAAUCUAUGAAACCUGAAGAAGAUAUGUACCCACUAGAACAUGAUUAAGCAACAUGUUAGCCAACACAAAUACAAUUGAAAUUAAAAUGAUUAAACCAGAUUUGGCACAAUAAGCUAAAUCAUUUAACAACUGUUAACCAUUUUUUCGUAUGUCUUAAGCUGUGUUUUUCAUUCACAUUUCAUACUUAAGUGGACUCAAUUGUGACUAAAUGUCCUUGACGUUGUGUGUCAAGGAUUUACUUUUUGUUUUAAAAAGAUUUUAUAUAUACUACAUUCAUAUUCAAAUCCUCCCUUUUUAGGAGUUAGACUUCUGACCGAAUGCGUUUACUCAUCUGUGGUGUGAUUAGGGGUCUGUGGAUGGGUGUUUUGUUAUGCAAGUUUGCUCAUCUGUACACUCCUGCACUGCAGAGGUAUUUGCUUCAGACAUGUUUAGGCAUGCAUUCCUUAACACUAGCUACCCGAAGUUUUGACUCGGUGUGUGGCCAGGCUUGAAAACCACAGAAAUGCUUUGCCAAAGCUCAUUUGGUGAUUUUAAACUACUAUUUUUUUUGAAAAAAGAUGCAUUUAAGGGGGAAAGAGGUUGCACAGAGGGUUUAACAUGCUUUUGUGCUUCAGUCUCAAUGUGUAUUUUUAUUUCUCAGCUCAGUAGUAUAAGUUCACAUAAACAGGUUUUCCUCAAACAGGUGGAUCUUGAAAUAGAAAAAAAGGAAACAUUGUGUUUUUCGGUGCAUCCAUGCAUUUCUUUUAAACUGAUAUUCCAAUAAAUGCAAAGGACCUGA